rnacentral:tRNA from 1 species
AUUUAAGUAGCUUAUAUUUAGAGCAUGACACUGAAGAUGUCCAGGAAAUCAUUGAUUCUUAAAUA